GGCUCCGUAGAGCAGUGCGGUUCUUGCGCUGUCCGGUGCGCUCGCGUCGGCCCUUGAAAAUCCGAGUGAGGGAGUGUGAUUUUCGUGCCGGACCAUACCCACAUCCGCAGCAGGUCUCCAAGGUGAACAGCCUCUAGUCGAUGGACCAAUGUAGGUAAGGGAAGUCGGCAAAACGGAUCCGUAACCUUGAGAUAAGGAUUGGCUCUGAGGACUGAGCCGGUCGGGCUGGGGACCUGAAGCAGGAACGGCACUGCACCGGGACUGGGCGGGGCUCGCCGUUCACGCGGCGCGGCCAAGCCCGGACCAGCGUCGGGACCUUCCUGUGGAAAGCCUCAGCUGCGCGGCGUCCGAGGGCUUCGUGCCCAAAGUGCUAUGCUUCGGCCGGCAAAAAACAGUCAACUCAGAACUGGCACGGACCGGGGGAAUCCGACUGUCUAAUUAAAACAAAGCAUUGCGAUGGCCGCUGGUCGGUGUUGACGCAAUGUGAUUUCUGCCCAGUGCUCUGAAUGUCAACGUGAAGAGAUUCAUCAAAGCGCGGGUAAACGGCGGGAGUAACAAUGACUCCUAGAAAAGUGGCGACCGAGUGGUCGCCACUCCAAGCCCAGGUGUGGGGUCUGGUGAACCCUCACGCCGAAUUGAUGACGU
rnacentral:ncRNA from 1 species